rnacentral:rRNA from 1 species
CCUACGGGAGGCAGCAGUGGGGAAUAUUGGGCAAUGGGCGCAAGCCUGACCCAGCAACGCCGCGUGAAGGAAGAAGGCUUUCGGGUGGUAAACUUCUUUUCUCAGGGACGAAUCAAGUGACGGUACCUGAGGAAUAAGCCACGGCUAACUACGUGCCAGCAGCCGCGGUAAUACGUAGGUGGCAAGCGUUAUCCGGAUUUACUGGGUGUAAAGGGCGUGUAGGCGGGACUGCAAGUCAGAUGUGAAAACCACGGGCUCAAGCUGUGGCGUGCAUUUGAUACUGUAGUUCUUGAGUGCUGGAGAGGCAGAAGGAAUUCGUGGUGUAGCGGUGAAAUGCGUAGAUAUUA